UAGAUUCGGUCCUGGUAUGGUAAUUUAUUGGUUUGGUUUUAUUGAUGAACUUGACUGUAAUCGUGAUAAGGGAAUUAUUCUUGCCGAUCAGUUUCCUUCCAAUUUGAUUACAUUAACAAGUCUCGUUUGGAAAGACGACUGACAAACAUCGACAUACAGUAGUUUCUGUGUAUACACUAGGUAUGUGGUGAUUCGUUAAAACUAUGAUUAAAAGCACUUGAUUCGUUAAUAGAGAGGUUCAGAUUUGACUUCCACCCGCUACCUCUUGCAAGUUAAUGGUGACGGUAGCGAAAGUCUGUUAUAUGUGCUGUAUUAAACUUCAGAAUGAUAAGAUACAACUAUCUGAAAAAUAGAAGGAGAACUUCGACGUUUUGAGCGAAGGCCCUUCCUCGGGAAGUUGAUAGUUUGCUCGAAACGUCGAAGUUAUCCGUGUAUAUAUUUCAGGUAGUACGUAGUUGCAUCCGCCUACCAAUCCUUUCUUGUCUGACACCUGCUGAUCUGCUGUUGAAAAUUUUGUAUUAGAAGACCCUGCAUGCUUGUAAAUAAUUUACGAUAAAAAAUUUUGUGGAUUGUUAAUUCAUUCAGUAUUACAAUAUUGUAGUAAUGGUAGUACUUUCAACCAGUACUUAACAUAUUUUUAACAUUG